UAUUUUAAAGAGAGUUUGAUCCUGGCUCAGGACGAACGCUGGCGGCGUGCCUAAUACAUGCAAGUCGAACGAACGGAGGAAGAGCUUGCUCUUCCAAAGUUAGUGGCGGACGGGUGAGUAACACGUGGGCAACCUGCCUGUAAGUUGGGGAUAACUCCGGGAAACCGGGGCUAAUACCGAAUGAUAAAGUGUGGCGCAUGCCACGCUUUUGAAAGAUGGUUUCGGCUAUCGCUUACAGAUGGGCCCGCGGUGCAUUAGCUAGUUGGUAGGGUAAUGGCCUACCAAGGCAACGAUGCAUAGCCGACCUGAGAGGGUGAUCGGCCACACUGGGACUGAGACACGGCCCAGACUCCUACGGGAGGCAGCAGUAGGGAAUCUUCCGCAAUGGACGAAAGUCUGACGGAGCAACGCCGCGUGUA
rnacentral:rRNA from 1 species